UGGGGAAUCGUUCACAAUGGGCGCAAGCCUGAUGACGCAACGCCGCGUGGGGGAUGAAGGUCUUCGGAUUGUAAACCCCUGUCGAAUGGGACGAAAGACUCGCGAGUUAAUACUUCGCGGGAGUGACGGUACCGUUAAAGGAAGCCACGGCUAACUCUGUGCCAGCAGCCGCGGUAAUACAGAGGUGGCAAGCGUUGUUCGGAAUUACUGGGCGUAAAGGGCGCGUAGGCGGCCUACUAAGUCAGACGUGAAAUCCCCCGGCUUAACCUGGGAACUGCGUCUGAUACUGGAAGGCUUGAGUAUGGGAGAGGGAUGUAGAAUUCCAGGUGUAGCGGUGAAAUGCGUAGAUAUCUGGAGGAAUACCGGUGGCGAAGGCGGCAUCCUGGACCAUUACUGACGCUGAGGCGCGAAAGCUAGGGGAGCAAACGGGAUUAGAUACCCCAGUAGUCCCUGAGCGGGCUGGCAAGGCGCAU
rnacentral:rRNA from 1 species